rnacentral:rRNA from 1 species
CGGCGAACUGGUGAGUAACAGGUGGGUAAUGUGCCCUUAAGUGGGGGAUAACACCGGGAAACCGGUGCUAAUACCGCAGUGAGCGCCGGGACCGAGGUCCUGGCGGUCAAAGCAGCAAUGCGCUUGAGGAUCGGCCCGCCCCCGAUUAGCUAGUUGGUGAGGUCAAGGCUCACCAAGGCCGCGAUCGGUAGCUGGUCUGAGAGGAUGGUCAGCCACACUGGGACUGAGAUACGGCCCAGACUCCUACGGGGGGCAGCAGUCUAGAGGCUUCGGCAAUGGGGGCAACCCUGACCGAGCGACGCCGCGUGUGGGAUUGAAGGCCUUCGGGUCGUAAACCACUGUCAUUGGGAAAGAAUGCCCUGGUGGCGAACCAGGGAGCGACGGUACCCAAGAAGGAAGCCCCGGCUAACUCCGUGCCAGCAGCCGCGGUAAUACGGAGGGGGCGAGCGUUGUUCGGAUUUACUGGGCGUAAAGGGUGUGUAGGCGGCCGCGCAAGUCUGGUGUGAAAUCUUGACCGCUUAACGGGAAGAGGUCACUGGAAACUGCGCGGCUCGAGUGUGGUAGAGGCAGGCGGAAUUCCUGGUGUAGCGGUGGAAUGUGUAGAUAUCAGGAAGAACACCGGUGGCGAAGGCGGCCUGCUGGGCCACUACUGACGCUGAGACACGAAAGCGUGGGGAGCAAACGGGAUUAGAUACCCCGGUAGUCCACGCGGUAAACGGUGCGCACUAGGUGUGGGAGGUAUCGACCCCUCCCGUGCCGGAGCAAACGCAUUAAGUGCGCCGCCUGGGGAGUACGGCCGCAAGGUUGAAACUCAAGGAAUUGACGGGGGCCCGCACAAGCGGUGGAGGAUGUUGUUUAAUUCG